GAUGAACGCUAGCUACAGGCUUAACACAUGCAAGUCGAGGGGUAGCAGGGUAGCAAUACCGCUGACGACCGGCGCACGGGUGAGUAACACGUAUCCAACCUUCCCAUAACUCGGGGAUAGCCUUUCGAAAGAAAGAUUAAUACCGGAUGGUACUUUUUCAAGGCAUCUUGAGAAAGUUAAAGAUUUAUUGGUUAUGGAUGGGGAUGCGUUCCAUUAGAUAGUUGGUGAGGUAACGGCUCACCAAGUCUUCGAUGGAUAGGGGUUCUGAGAGGAAGGUCCCCCACAUUGGUACCGAGACACGGACCAAACUCCUACGGGAGGCAGCAGUGAGGAAUAUUGGUCAAUGGGCGAGAGCCUGAACCAGCCAAGUAGCGUGAAGGAUGAAGGUCCUAUGGAUUGUAAACUUCUUUUAUACAGGAAUAAAGUUAGCCACGUGUGGUUAUUUGUAGGUACUGUAUGAAUAAGGACCGGCUAAUUCCGUGCCAGCCGCCGCAGUAA
rnacentral:rRNA from 1 species